rnacentral:rRNA from 1 species
UACGGAGGGUGCAAGCGUUAUCCGGAUUCACUGGGUUUAAAGGGUGCGUAGGUGGGCAAGUAAGUCAGUGGUGAAAUCUCCGGGCUUAACCCGGAAACUGCCAUUGAUACUAUUUGUCUUGAAUACUGUGGAGGUCAGCGGAAUAUGUCAUGUAGCGGUGAAAUGCUUAGAUAUGACAUAGAACACCAAUUGCGAAGGCAGCUUGCUACAGGGAUAUUGACACUGAGGCACGAAAGCGUGAGGAUCAAACAGG